rnacentral:tRNA from 1 species
AGGGCUGUAGCUCAGUGGUAGAGCACUUGACUUGCAGAUAUGAGACCCUGGGUUUGAUCCUCAGCACUA